rnacentral:lncRNA from 1 species
GGCGGUGUUCCAGUCUUCCUUACUCCUCACAGCUUAGGCGCGUCGGCCUCCUGCCAGUCCCACUCCAGAUGAAGUGUGAGCACUGCACACGAAAGGUGGGUGCGUCGUCCGGCGGGGCUAGGGGCGAAAGCCAAGGCUGGAAUCGGUGGUGAGGGUCGGGCUCAGCCGGGUGCACCUUGCUCUGUUAUGUCGGCCUCUGACAGCCAUCACCUGUCUGCAGAGGACUGGGCGGCGAGCUGGCUGUUGUCCACUGCAGGCGAGUGCACCGCCGGGACUGUCCGUGGAAGCUACUGUUCUGGGGCCGGGGAUUGAUCUCAGUCCCGGCACCCUGUUGUGGAAGUGAACGAUUAAUAAAGUAAUUAGAAAUGAUGCUUUGAGCGGCUCUUCUACUUAAACAACAACAAACUUCAAUACAACGAAGUGGAGAAGGAAUAAAGGGCAGGCAGGCCCUCCUGUCCUGCUCCACUAGGUGGCUGAAGUGACUGACAGCUGCCUCACUUGCCUUCACACGUGAUGCAUGUGCAGGAAUCUCGUUUGGUUUUUUGUUUUUUUACAGGAAUUGUAUCAUAUCCAAAUACUCCAUACGUUGUUUUUUUUUUUUUUCAGAGAAUCGCCUGUAAUCUUGUGUAAUAGCCACAUCUAAAUGUUCUUAUAUAUAUUACCGUUAGAUCACUUCCUGUUCUUCAUUACUACUACAAACAAUACAAAUGGAGGGUGUGAGUGUUUAUGUGUACCCUUCUAUAAGUAUGGAUGAUUUUAUUUUGUAGAAAGGGUUUCUUAGAAGUAAGAUCGACUGCUCAGGAUAUGUUUUGGUUUUUGGCAUCACACUAAAUUAUUCUUGACUGAGCUCGGUGGUACACACCAAUGAUCCCAGUGCUUGAGAGACUGAGGCAGGAGCUCAAAGUUAGACAGUGCAAUUUAUCAAGACCCUAUCUCAUUAAAAAAAAAUAUGGUAGCACACAUCUUAAUCUGAGCACUCAGGAGGCAGAGGCAGACUUUCUGUGAAUUUGAGGUCAGCCUGGUCUACAUGGUGAGUUCCAGGACAGCCAGGACUAUGUAGAAAGACUUGAUC